rnacentral:misc_RNA from 1 species
UCUCCGUAGGUGAACCUGCGGAGGGAUCAUUACAGAGUUCAUGCCUUACCGGGUAGAUCUCCCACCCUAUGUUAUUAUUACUUUGUUGCUUUGGCGGGCCGUUAGGCUCCGGCCCGACUACCGGCCCCGGCUGGUAAGCGCCCGCCAGAGGACCCAAAACCCUGAAUAUUAGUGUCGUCUGAGUACUAUAUAAUAGUUAAAACUUUCAACAACGGAUCUCUUGGUUCUG